GUGUGUAAGGGUUGGAGACUCAUAAGUGAUUUGAAAUCAUUUAGUUCGCGUUUGGAAGUGAUACACA
rnacentral:tRNA from 1 species